rnacentral:rRNA from 1 species
CCUACGGGAGGCAGCAGUGAGGAAUAUUGGUCAAUGGCCGUGAGCCUGAACCAGCCAAGUCGCGUGAGGGAUGACGGCCCUACGGGUUGUAAACCUCUUUUGUCAGGGAACAAAGCGAGUCACGUGUCCCUCAUUGUGAGUACCUGAAGAAAAAGCAUCGGCUAACUCCGUGCCAGCAGCCGCGGUAAUACGGAGGAUGCGAGCGUUAUCCGGAUUUAUUGGGUUUAAAGGGUGCGCAGGCGGCGUUGCAAGUCAGCGGUAAAAUUUCGGGGCUCAACCCCGAACUUCCGUUGAAACUGGAGCCCUUGAGUGCGUGAGAAGUAUGCGGAAUGCGUGGUGUAGCGGUGAAAUGCAUAGAUAUCACGCAGAACCCCGAUUGCGAAGGCAGCAUACCGGCGCGUAACUGACGCUCAUGCACGAAAGCGUGGGUAUCGAACAGGAUUAGAUACCCGAGUAGUG